rnacentral:lncRNA from 1 species
UAUCCAUGUUGCGGUAAUAUAAGGUUGUCCUAAAAUCAAUGGAUAAGACGUUGUAUCUUGAACAAAAAAAUAUUGUUCUAUCAUAACAUCUCUUAUUUGAAUUUUGACAUCUGGAUAAGCUCUAUAUAAUUCACCUCGUAUGUUAUUAGUUGCUUGUAUUGCCCAUCCAUGUUCCAUAUCAAUUGGCCAUUUUUGUUUCUUAUAAAGAU